AUUUAAGCCUUAUGAUCACAGGAAAUUCAAAAACUUAAACUUAAACUUAUAUGUAUAUAUUUUUGUUGUAGGAGAAAGGUGAUCAAAGAAAGAUUUAUGUAUAAAAUGCAUUAGUAUAAAUUUCUGUGGGGGAAGUGGAAUGGAUACACAGGUUCCAAAAGAAAAUGAAACAAUACGAAAUUUCUGACAGGAAGCGUAUGAACAAAAAGUUUGAAGACAACUACUGAUGGGCCUGCUUGUCAGGAGAGCAGCACCCCGUCCAGCCCCUGGCAAGGGGGUUUUGCUUGAACCACAGUGAUGAGAAGUUUCCUUGGGCUCUUGGACUAAUAAAGUAUCUCAAUGGCUAGUCCCAGUUCCGUCAAAAUAACAACAAGGAAAAAUACCCAGACUCCUCUAUUCACCAGCUCACUCAUUCCCUUCCUACACUGCCCAGCCAGAGAUACUUGUCUGCAGUUCAUCAGGCCGGAGAACCUCACACUCUGGUUGCCAAUACAGAGUGCUUGGUGGUAAGAAGAGGCCUCUUAAUGGAUCCAAAUGUUAAGUUCUGACCAGAAGUUGCCACCAGGCUAGAUACAGAUAUUGCCAACUCCCCCAUCAGAAAAACAAAAGCAAGACUCUAGGCACCCAUAUUCAGAGCUUGUUAUGAGACUACUCUUAUGAGCGUAUAUAUAUAUGGUGAUUAUUUUGGGUAAACGGGAGUAGAUAAAUAAAAUUCAAAGUAAACUCUU